UACGAAGGGGGCUAGCGUUGCUCGGAAUCACUGGGCGUAAAGGGUGCGUAGGCGGGUCUUUAAGUCAGGGGUGAAAUCCUGGAGCUCAACUCCAGAACUGCCUUUGAUACUGAAGAUCUUGAGUUCGGGAGAGGUGAGUGGAACUGCGAGUGUAGAGGUGAAAUUCGUAGAUAUUCGCAAGAACACCAGUGGCGAAGGCGGCUCACUGGCCCGAUACUGACGCUGAUGCACGAAAGCGUGGGGAGCAAACAGA
rnacentral:rRNA from 1 species